AAGGAGAAAUAACUACCAUAACUAAUAAUUCAAAUUCAAAUAUCUGGGAUCUUACAACAAAAACAAAUUUAAAUUCAAAAUAAUAAUUCAAAUUCAAAUCUUGAUCUCCCUCACAGCCCUCUCCUCCGCUGCUCCGCCGCGAAUUUUCGUUGUCCAAAACGCCAAUGAUAAGAAUAAGAAUAUUCGCUCUACAAAAAGUUUAAAAAUAAAUAGAUGUAACUCUUACUGUUCUGAAUUUUUUUUAUGACUAUUUGGUUACCCACAAAAACUAAAAUGAUUACCUUUGUAUGAAUGGUUGACUACCAACUGCAUCACAUUCAAACUAAAUUGGUAACUUCAUAAAACUGAAUUAGUUACCUUAGUAUGAAGGUUUGGCUACCCACUGCAUCACAUUUAAAAUAAAUUGGUAACCUAAUAACACUGAUUUGGUUACCUUGGUAUGAAUAUUUGGCUACCAACUGCACUACGAAAAGACUGUAUGUGUGGAUAUGGAUUGAUUACCUUGGUAUGAAGGUUUGGUUAUCUUGGUGUGAAGGUUUGGUUACCAACUACACUAUGAAAAAACUGAAGGUAUGGAGGUGGAUUGGUUACCUUGGUAUGACGGUUUGGUUACCUCGGUAUGAAUGUUUAGUUACUAACUGUACUAUGAAAAAACUACAAGUGUGUAGGUGGAUUGGUAACCUUGGUAUGAAGGUUUGGUAACCUUGGUAUGAAGGUUUGGUUACCAAUCUCUUCUAUCAGUUGCUGAUUUUGGAUCAAACCCAAUAAUUCUAUCCUUCUAUAUCUCUGUUUCUCUCUUAUUUUCUGGUUAAACUUCAACAAAGGUUUGACACACUUACAUCGACGUCAGAAGGAAGAAUCUUCAUUAUUCCCCCAGCAUAGUCUUGCGAAUUAUAUAUAUCAGAAUUCACCCCAUGACCAUCUUGUGACAGUGGCCCACUCUCUAGCCCACUGUUCCCCACCAUGGUUGCCUUUGUUGCUGAAUUUUCAUUAGAGCCGGAACUUGAACACCAUUCAUCUCGUCAAAACAUUCAUCUCGGUGAUGGUUGCACACCAUUCAUCUCGUCAAACUUCUCCUCAAAUUGACUAAAUAAUGGUGCAGACAUAAAAGCGUGUAAGUUGGGGGGGAAACAAGAAUCACUUUUACGAGUAGAAUUAAUUUUCACUCACACGCAAAAACACACACACAUAUAUUCAUUGUAGAAAGGAUCCGAGAAUACCUGAGAUUUGAGAUUGCGGUUAGGGCUGGAAAAUUUGUCAAUCAAAAAG
rnacentral:lncRNA from 1 species